CUUGGAGUUUUUCCUCAAUUUUUUUUUCACCCAAUUGAAUCUAAUGAUACCUCACUGAGAAUAGAGAUGUCAUGAACCAGCUGCAAUAAAGAACAAGUUGGUGACCUCAGAAGUUUGAAGAAUAAAAAAAUUGAGAAAGGCAGGGGCUUACACCAAGAAGACCAUCAUAUGAGGCAUUCACAACCUCAUCUAGAGGACGAGAUUUCUUCUCCACC
rnacentral:lncRNA from 1 species